UACGUAGGGGGCAAGCGUUGUCCGGAAUCAUUGGGCGUAAAGAGCGUGUAGGCGGCUUCGUCAGUCCGUUGUGAAAGUCCAGGGCUCAACCCUGGAAUGCCGAUGGAUACUGCGGAGCUAGAGUCCGGAAGAGGCGAGUGGAAUUCCUGGUGUAGCGGUGAAAUGCGCAGAUAUCAGGAGGAACACCUAUUGCGAAGGCAGCUCGCUGGGACGUAACUGACGCUGAGACGCGAAAGCGUGGGGAGCAAACAGG
rnacentral:rRNA from 1 species